rnacentral:rRNA from 1 species
GACGAACGCUGGCGGCGUGCCUAACACAUGCAAGUCGAACGGAGUCGUUCCUUCGGGGACAACUUAGUGGCGAACGGGUGAGUAACGCGUGAGGAACCUGCCUUUCAGUGGGGGACAACAGUUGGAAACGACUGCUAAUACCGCAUAAUACAGUUGAGCGGCAUCGCUUGACUGUCAAAGCUUUAUGUGCUGAAAGAUGGCCUCGCGUCUGAUUAGCUAGUUGGAGGGGUAACGGCCCACCAAGGCGACGAUCAGUAGCCGGUCUGAGAGGAUGAACGGCCACAUUGGGACUGAGACACGGCCCAG